rnacentral:rRNA from 1 species
GAUGAACGCUGGCGGCGUGCCUAAUACAUGCAAGUAGAACGCUGAAGGAGGAGCUUGCUCUUCUGGAUGAGUUGCGAACGGGUGAGUAACGCGUAGGUAACCUGCCUGGUAGCGGGGGAUAACUAUUGGAAACGAUAGCUAAUACCGCAUGACAACAGUUAUUGCAUGAUAACUGUUUAAAAGGGGCAACUGCUCCACUACCAGAUGGACCUGCGUUGUAUUAGCUAGUUGGUGAGGUAACGGCUCACCAAGGCGACGAUACAUAGCCGACCUGAGAGGGUGAUCGGCCACACUGGGACGGAGACACGGCCCAGACUCCUACGGGAGGCAGCAGUAGGGAAUCUUCGGCAAUGGACGGAAGUCUGACCGAGCAACGCCGCGUGAGUGAAGAAGGUUGUCGGAUCGUAAAGCUCGGUUGUAAGAGAAGAACGAGUGUGAGAGUGGAAAGUUCACACUGUGACGGUAUCUUACCAGAAAGGGACGGCUAACUACGUG